rnacentral:lncRNA from 1 species
AGAAGAAGAAGAAGAAGAAGAAGAAGAAGAAGAAGAAGAAGAAGAAGAAGAAGAAGAAGAAGAAGAAGAAGAAGAAGAAGGAAAAGAAGAAGAAUAAUAAUAAGAAGAAGAACAAGAAGAGCAACAGCAGCAACAACAAACAACAACAACAAAAGACAUACUUAUCUACAGUCAUAUGUCCUUUGACAUAGUUUCAGGUAUGCCCUCAGAAGCCAACUGAUCUCAGAAGCGAACUCUAAUGGAGCAGUAGGAGCCUUCUGUAGUGGUGCACUGACUGGGAUUGCAAGUGCCCAACUGAUUAUUUAGUAUUGUUCUACAUGGUUCUAAAUGCCAGUGAGAGCAUAGAAGGCUGGGAUACUGCUUGCCUUGGCGUUCUCCCUUAAUGAGAAAGAAGAUCGAUUAUAUGUCAGGCCAGUGCAGUGUGACGAUGAUUGAUGAUGCUGAUGACAAUGAUGAAGAUGACGUGACGGUGAGGACUAUGACGAUGGCUAUUUUCAUUCAAUACUUUGUCCCAGAUGACUGAGAAAGGCAGGAGGUGAAGAAGCGAACAAAGCAAAGAAGGGAUUAGACAGAAGACACAUGCACCGCAGAGACAAGUUCUGAUACAGCGAGGAGUCGGUAGAGAGUGAAGUUCAAUUAAUAUACAUAUUGCCAAGACACAGGACAACUUCCUUAAGAAGUAGAAGUUUGGCACUGUCAAGAAAUGGGAGUGAGGUGAAA